rnacentral:rRNA from 1 species
GAUGAACGCUGGCGGCGUGCCUAAUACAUGCAAGUCGAGCGAACGGACGAGAAGCUUGCUUUUCUGAUGUUAGCGGCGGACGGGUGAGUAACACGUGGAUAACCUACCUAUAAGACUGGGAUAACUUCGGGAAACCGGAGCUAAUACCGGAUAAUAUUUUGAACCGCAUGGUUCAAAAGUGAAAGACGGUCUUGCUGUCACUUAUAGAUGGAUCCGCGCUGCAUUAGCUAGUUGGUAAGGUAACGGCUUACCAAGGCAGCGAUGCAUAGCCGACCUGAGAGGGUGAUCGGCCACACUGGAACUGAGACACGGUCCAGACUCCUACGGGAGGCAGCAGUAGGGAAUCUUCCGCAAAGGGCGAAAGCCUGACGGAGCAACGCCGCGUGAGUGAUGAAGGUCUUCGGAUCGUAAAACUCUGUUAUUAGGGAAGAACAUAUGUGUAAGUAACUGUGCACAUCUUGACGGUACCUAAUCAGAAAGCCACGGCUAACUACGUG